rnacentral:lncRNA from 1 species
GCCAUCACAGAUAAUUUGCCGUGCACACACAGAGCUCACAUAUGUUUAUCCUCAUUGACAUUUACCUGGGAGGCUUUGCUGUGUUUUAGACAGGAGAUGAGUGGCCCUAUAUGUUUAAAAUGAAACUUACUGUGGAAGACAAAAAGGAAAAAGGCUACUGUAGCUAUGAGAGAAUCCACAGAUUUUCCCAAACUUUACUGAAGUAGUGAAGCCUAAAGCAGUGUCCCAGAUGACAAUCUGACCUACCCAGGUACUGUGAACUAAGCAAGAAUUCUUGUACCUCUAGCAUCAGGACGUUGCAGUCGUGGUGUCUUUCUUUCUACCUCUGCAUAU